AGUGGACGCUGGCGGUAGGCCUAACACAUGCAAGUCGAACGGCAGCACAGUAAGAGCUUGCUCUUACGGGUGGCGAGUGGCGGACGGGUGAGGAAUACAUCGGAAUCUACUUUUUCGUGGGGGAUAACGUAGGGAAACUUACGCUAAUACCGCAUACGACCUACGGGUGAAAGCAGGGGAUCUUCGGACCUUGCGCGAUUGAAUGAGCCGAUGUCGGAUUAGCUAGUUGGCGGGGUAAAGGCCCACCAAGGCGACGAUCCGUAGCUGGUCUGAGAGGAUGAUCAGCCACACUGGAACUGAGACACGGCCCAGACUCCUACGGGAGGCAGCAGUGGGGAAUAUUGGACAAUGGGCGCAAGCCUGAUCCAGCCAUACCGCGUGGGUGAAGAAGGCCUUCGGGUUGUAAAGCCCUUUUGUUGGGAAAGAAAAGCAGCAGGUUAAUACCCCGCUGUUCUGACGGUACCCAAAGAAUAAGCACCGGCUAACUUCGUG
rnacentral:rRNA from 1 species